GACGAACGCUGGCGGCGUGCUUAACACAUGCAAGUCGAACGGAAAGGCCCUGCUUUUGCGGGGUGCUCGAGUGGCGAACGGGUGUGUAACACGUGAGUCACCUUCCCUUGACUUUAGGAUAUCUUCAGGCAACUGGGGCUAAUACCGGCUAGGAGCUCCUGCUGCAUGGGGGGGGUUGGACAGUUUCGGCGGAUGGGGAUGGACUCGCGGCUUAUCAGCUUGUUGGUGGGGUAGUGGCUUACCAAGCCAUCGGAGGCUAGCCGGCCUGGGAGGGGAGACAGCGACAUGGGUACUGAGGGAGGGCCCAGACUGCUACGGGAGGCAGCAGGGGGGAAUAUUGCACAACGGGGGGAAGCGUGAUGAGGAAGCGUUGCGAGCGGGAUGACGGCCUUCGUGGGAGAAACGGCAUUCGCCUGAGACGAAGCGUGAGUGACGGUAAUGGGUAAAGAAGCACCGGCUAACUACGUG
rnacentral:rRNA from 1 species